UGGUGGAGUGAUUUGUCUGCUUAAUUGCGAUAACGAACGAGACCUCGGCCCUUAAAUAGCCCGGUCCGCGUUUGCGGGCCGCUGGCUUCUUAGGGGGACUAUCGGCUCAAGCCGAUGGAAGUUUGAGGCAAUAACA
rnacentral:rRNA from 1 species